UGAGGGAAAGUUGCAAAGAACUUUGAAGAGAGAGUUCAAGAGUACGUGAAACUGCUCGGAAGGAAACGGGUGGAUCUUCGAAGUCCGAGAGGAGCGGGAUUCAGUGGCGGGCGGCGAGGGGUGUUUGAACUUCGUACUCCCUCGCGGGGACGAGGGGCGAGCACCGUUCUCCCGUCAGCCGCGCACUUCUCGCUCCCGGUGGACGCCGCAGCCGGUCUGGCGUCGGCAGUGAGGACUGGCCGGGCGAUGGCGUGGGCGUCGAUCUCGCAUCGGCGUCCCGAUUCUGUACCGGUCGUGUUCCCGGUGCGACGCCGGUCCGAGGGAAAGUGUCCGGACUAGUUCCGGACGUGCCGCGGUCUCGCCAUGAGAAUGGCAGAGCGGGAGAGUGGUCCGGUCCUACCGGCCGUGUUGCCCACCACGAGCGUGAGCGACCGGAAAAAGGUGAGCCGUAAGAUCGCGACCUAGCCCGCUAAGGCGAACCGAGGGCUUGCGGCGAGUAGGUCGGUAUUCCACCCGACCCGUCUUGAAACACGGACCAAGGAGUCUAACUUGUGCGCGAGUCAGUGGGACUCGAUUAAGCCCACGGGCGCAAUGAGAGUGAAUUUUUGUGUCGUGAUCCCGCGCUUCGGCGUGGGCGCAGCGACGGCCCGACUAAAAUGUUGUCCAGCGUAGCUGGCGCCGGUCGGAGCCCGAGCGUACAGGUUGGUACCCGAAAGAUGGUGAACUAUGCCCGGGCAGGUUGAAGCUAGAGGAAACUCUGGUGGAGGACCGCAGCGGUUCUGACGUGCAAAUCGAUCGUCGAACCUGGG
rnacentral:rRNA from 1 species